CCUACGGGAGGCAGCAGUGAGGAAUAUUGGUCAAUGGACGAGAGUCUGAACCAGCCAAGUAGCGUGAAGGAUGACUGCCCUAUGGGUUGUAAACUUCUUUUAUAAAGGAAUAAAACAAGUCACGUGUGCCUUUUUUCAUUUCCUUUGUGAAUACGGAUCGGCUAACUCCGUGCCAGCAGCCGCGUUAAUACGGAGGAUCCGAGCGUUAUCCGGAUUUAUUGGGUUUAAAGGGAGCGUAGAUGGGUUGUUAAGUCAGUUGUGAACGUUUGCGGCUCAACCGUAAAAUUGCAAUUGAUAAUGGCAGUCUUGAGUACAGUUGAGGUAGGCGGAAUUCGUGGUGUAGCGGUGAAAUGCUUAGAUAUCACGAAGAACCCCGAUUGCGAAGGCAGAUUACUAAACUGUGACUGACAUUGAUGCUCGAAAGUGUGGGUAUCAAACAGGAUUAGAUACCCGAGUAGUC
rnacentral:rRNA from 1 species